CCUACGGGGGGCAGCAGUGGGGAAUAUUGGACAAUGGGCGAAAGCCUGAUCCAGCCAUGCCGCGUGUGUGAAGAAGGCCUUCGGGUUGUAAAGCACUUUCAGUGGGGAAGAAAGCCUUGGGGCUAAUACCCUCGAGGAAGGACAUCACCCACAGAAGAAGCACCGGCUAACUCCGUGCCAGCAGCCGCGGUAAUACGGAGGGUGCGAGCGUUAAUCGGAAUUACUGGGCGUAAAGCGCGCGUAGGCGGUCUGAUAAGCCGGUUGUGAAAGCCCCGGGCUCAACCUGGGAACGGCAUCCGGAACUGUCAGGCUAGAGUGCAGGAGAGGAGGGUAGAAUUCCCGGUGUAGCGGUGAAAUGCGUAGAGAUCGGGAGGAAUACCAGUGGCGAAGGCGGCCUUCUGGACUGACACUGACGCUGAGGUGCGAAAGCGUGGGUAGCAAACAGGAUUAGAUACCCCAGUAGUC
rnacentral:rRNA from 1 species